rnacentral:rRNA from 1 species
GAUGAACGCUGGCGGCGUGCCUAAUACAUGCAAGUCGAGCGAACGGACGAGAAGCUUGCUUCUCUGAUGUUAGCGGCGGACGGGUGAGUAACACGUGGAUAACCUACCUAUAAGACUGGGAUAACUUCGGGAAACCGGAGCUAAUACCGGAUAAUAUUUUGAACCGCAUGGUUCAAAAGUGAAAGACGGUCUUGCUGUCACUUAUAGAUGGAUCCGCGCUGCAUUAGCUAGUUGGUAAGGUAACGGCUUACCAAGGCAACGAUGCAUAGCCGACCUGAGAGGGUGAUCGGCCACACUGGCACUGAGACACGGUCCAGACUCCUACGGGAGGCAGCAGUAGGGAAUCUUCCGCAAUGGGCGAAAGCCUGACAGAGCAACGCCGCGUGAGUGAUGAAGGUCUUCGGAUCGUAAAACUCUGUUAUUAGGGAAGAACAUAUGUGUAAGUAACUGUGCACAUCUUGACGGUACCUAAUCAGAAAGCCACGGCUAACUACGUG